CUGGCGGCGGGCCUAUACAUGCAAGUCGAGCGGACCGACGGGAGCUUGCUCCCUUAGGUCAGCGGCGGACGGGUGAGUAACACGUGGGUAACCUGCCUGUAAGACUGGGAUAACUCCGGGAAACCGGGGCUAAUACCGGAUGCUUGAUUGAACCGCAUGGUUCAAUCAUAAAAGGUGGCUUUUAGCUACCACUUACAGAUGGACCCGCGGCGCAUUAGCUAGUUGGUGAGGUAACGGCUCACCAAGGCGACNAUGCGUAGCCGACCUGAGAGGGUGAUCGGCCACACUGGGACUGAGACACGGCCCAGACUCCUACGGGAGGCAGCAGUAGGGAAUCUUCCGCAAUGGACGAAAGUCUGACGGAGCAACGCCGCGUGAGUGAUGAAGGUUUUCGGAUCGUAAAACUCUGUUGUUAGGGAAGAACAAGUACCGUUCGAAUAGGGCGGCACCUUGACGGUACCUAACCAGAAAGCCACGGCUAACUACGUGCCAGCAGCCGCGGUAAUACGUAGGUGGCAAGCGUUGUCCGGAAUUAUUGGGCGUAAAGCGCGCGCAGGCGGUUUCUUAAGUCUGAUGUGAAAGCCCCCGGCUCAACCGGGGAGGGUCAUUGGAAACUGGGGAACUUGAGUGCA
rnacentral:rRNA from 1 species